CUUCAGGAUGUGUUCUGAGUAUCAUCUGGGCGCAGGUCUGGAUGGUUUUGGAAUGCUUCUGAUAUAAAGUCCUUCCUGCAGGAUCGGGAAGGCACAGCCAGAGAGGCUGCCUGCACUACGGUGUAACGCGCCGUCAACAUAUCCCUUCCAGCGACAAUCAAUGGACCCUUUUGGGGCUAGUAGCUCAGUUGGUUAGAGCACACGCUUGAUAAGCGUGGGGUCGGAGGUUCAAGUCCUCCCUGGCCCACCAGUUCUGCUGCGUGUCCGUUCUGGGCUGCAUUUAUGCGGUUCAUAAGGUCAUGCACUGAUGGGGGCGUAGCUCAGCUGGGAGAGCACCUGCUUUGCAAGCAGGGGGUCGUCGGUUCGAUCCCGUCCGCCUCACCAUUUACUGGUGUUGAGAGGCCUGGGUUCUGGCCGUGAAUGAUUGUCGCCGGAAGAUAAUGGAGAUCGGACGGAUAUCCUGUGGAACCGCGUUGGCGGUGCAUGGGGUGUUGCGGUCUGGUGAGUUUGCUCUUUGAUAAUGUGAAUAGGUUGGUGCGUUUGUGGACGUGCCUUUGUCACGGGUUGGUCUGACCCGUGGAUGGUCCGGGCAGCCGGAGUAUCCAUGCUAGGUGACGGAGGCGUAAGCGUUCAUAAGCGAGUUAAGUGUUGAAUUGUGCGAUGCACUGCACUUUCUCUGUGCGGGUGUUGUUGCUCGAUCUGCCGGUUAUCUGACUGGUGGCUUGAGUGGAUGG
rnacentral:tRNA from 1 species